GAGUUUGAUCUUGGCUCAGAUUGAACGCUGGCGGCAGGCCUAACACAUGCAAGUCGAGCGGAUGACGGGAGCUUGCUCCUUGAUUCAGCGGCGGACGGGUGAGUAAUGCCUGGGAAUCUGCCUGGUAGUGGGGGACAACGUUUCGAAAGGAACGCUAAUACCGCAUACGUCCUACGGGAGAAAGCAGGGGACCUUCGGGCCUUGCGCUAUCAGAUGAGCCUAGGUCGGAUUAGCUAGUUGGUGGGGUAAUGGCUCACCAAGGCGACGAUCCGUAACUGGUCUGAGAGGAUGAUCAGUCACACUGGAACUGAGACACGGUCCAGACUCCUACGGGAGGCAGCAGUGGGGAAUAUUGGACAAUGGGCGAAAGCCUGAUCCAGCCAUGCCGCGUGUGUGAAGAAGGUCUUCGGAUUGUAAAGCACUUUAAGUUGGGAGGAAGGGCAGUAAGUUAAUACCUUGCUGUUUUGACGUUACCGACAGAUAAGCACGGCUAACUCUGUGCCAGCCGCCGACCG
rnacentral:rRNA from 1 species